rnacentral:rRNA from 1 species
CAGCCGCCGCGGUAAUACGUAGGGUGCAAGCGUUAAUCGGAAUUACUGGGCGUAAAGCGUGCGCAGGCGGUUAUAUAAGACAGAUGUGAAAUCCCCGGGCUCAACCUGGGAACUGCAUUUGUGACUGUAUAGCUAGAGUACGUCAGAGGGGGAUGGAAUUCCGCGUGUAGCAGUGAAAUGCGUAGAUAUGCGGAGGAACACCGAUGGCGAAGGCAAUCCCCUGGGCCUGUACUGACGCUCAUGCACGAAAGCGUGGGGAGCAAACAGGAUUAGAUACCCGAGUAGUCCCUGUCUCUUAUAC